UUUUUUUUUUUUAUCUGUACGUUCAAAACAAACAUUGCAAUAUUGAUCAAAAAAUUGUUGACUAAUGUUAUUUUAUAUUUUUUUAAGAGUAAAACACAUGUACACAAAUAUUUCCUUUUACUAAUUAUGAGAUUUUCAGGUAAGUUAUUGAGCUAUUUCUGUUUGAUUUGUUAGGAGAUUAGUUUUGUCCGUUUACAAGUUAACAUUGCUUGUGUUAUUCUUGGCAAGUAAUCAUUUCUUAUAUAAAUUUUUGUACACUAUAGGCUUAUCUUUUUAAAUUUUAGGUAGCGUAUGGAGAUUUCAUCUUAUGUUCAUGAGCGCACAACGUAUAAAAUAUAAAAUCAUAAGAAAUGUUUUCUGGUGGUGUGUAGCAGUUAACCGCAUUUAAGUAAAAAUAUUUUAAAAUGAUUGUUACCAGAGCUGAAUUACAUUGAGGCUUGUGGAGAACAGCUUUUUUUUAAUCUACUCUUUGGCUGGCAAAUGUAAAUAAGCAAUGAUUUCGUGAAUGCAGCGAGAGAGUUUAUUUGAUGUAUUUUAAAAUCACUGAUAAUAUUUAUUGAUGUAUUUUAAAAUCACUGAUAAUAUUUAUUGAUGUAUUUUAAAAUCACUGAUAAUAUUUAUUGAUGUAUUUUAAAAUCACUGAUAAUAUUUGUUUUGUGGCUGGAAGAUGGUAACCAUGGUGACUUGUGAAUUUUUAUGAAGAUUAAUAAAAAGCAGUAAAAAUUA